AAGAGGACAUUAUUUUGGGAAUUUAGAAUUACACUUUGAUGAUGAUAAAUCUGAAAUAUAGGAUCAUUCUAUCCACUCUAACUUCACACUCUAAGGUUUACAUUAGGGAGUUUGUAUUAUCAGAAUUGAAAAUGUGCUCUCAUUCAUCCUCAGUGUGGAGCUCAGCAUAGAGUGAAUUCUGAAAGGUAAUGUUUAAUGUACAAAAAAUAGAUCGAACAAAAGAAACAAAGACAAACAGUGCCACUUAAACUGAGAAAACUGGGCCUUUGUUUCCCUUGUUUAACCAGGUAAAACUCACUGACAUAAAGACAACUGAAGGAGACAUCUUUGUCAUUGGCAAACUCAAAACCUCCCUAAUAAAUUAAAGAUUAUAUACAUUACAUUACUGAAAAUAACGGUUAUGUUCAUUAUAGAUUCAUCUGGAAAUAUUUUUCUCGAUCAGUUGAUUAAUCGUUAAUUUACCACAUCAAUGUUCUAUCAUAUAUGUCAAAGAAAAAGAAAAUCUUCACAUUCAAGAAGCCUUGUGUCACAGAUCCACAUCCUCCUGCUUUUACUCUCUCCGGCCACAGGGUGGCACUGGCGGGCUCAACAAACUUAAGCUCAGCUACGUAAGGUAUCGUAAAAUAAACAAAGCAAACAAAGAAUCAUGAGCCAGGCGGUGGGACUACUUUAAACUAUGGCUGUUUAUGGAGCUUAUCUUGAUGCUAGCUAGUCCCGCGACAGUCAUCUCUCCUGUGGAACCAGGCCCAUGAUGACGUCUCCAGAUUCCUUGUUUUGUCCGAGCAUCAAUCCAACACCCAAAGUGAGCAGUGAAUACUUUCUUACCUGGGUCACAUUCCCUUCAGUUGUUAGAGGUGGAAAACCAUGAGGAUUUUCAAGACCGUGCCACACACUGGACUGAAUGGAAAGAACUUAGUUAUCCUUUAAUCGCUUCUCCCAUCACAGAUCCACAUCCUCCUGCUUUUAGUCUCUCCGGCCACAGGGCGGCACUGGCGGGCUCAACAAACCUAAGCUCAGCUACGCAGCUGCCCAAGGUAUCGUAAAAUAAACAAAGCAGACAAUAAGAUAAGACAGCUACAAAGCUGAAGAGCACGGUGAAGUCAGUGACUUUGAGAAAAAGUUAAAGGAUAUGAGUCAGGCAGUGGGACUACUUUAAACUAUGGCUGUUUAUGGAGCUUAUCUUGAUGCUAGCUAGUCCCGCGACAGUCAUCUCUCCUGAGAAACCAGGUAAAUUACUUUUAACUUGUGUAACCUUGUGAGCACUUUCAUGAUAAAUUCAUAAAAUCACUUUCUCCUGCUGCCACCUUUGUU